CCUAGGUUAUGACAUGGGUGCAGGUGCGUGAGGGACACCUAGGUUAUGACAUGGGUGCAGGUGCGUGAGGGACACCUAGGUUAUGACAUGGGUGCAGGUGCGUGAGGGACACCUAGGUUAUGACAUGGGUGCAGGUGCGUGAGGGACACCUAGGUUAUGACAUGGGUGCAGGUGCGUGAGGGACACCUAGGUUAUGACAUGGGUGCAGGUGCGUGAGGGACACCUAGGUUAUGACAUGGGUGCAGGUGCGUGAGGGACACCUAGGUUAUGACAUGGGUGCAGGUGCGUGAGGGA